rnacentral:tRNA from 1 species
GGUUGUGGCUCAAUGGUAGAGCACUUCCCUGGCAUGCAUGAGACACCAGGUUCAUUCCCUAGAACCA